CAGCUACUCAGGAGGCUGAGGCAGGGAGAAUUGCUUGAACCUAUGAGGUGGAGGUUGCAGUGAGCCAAGAUCAAGCCACUGCACUCCAGCCUUGGUGACAGAGUGAGACUCCAUCUCCAAAAAGAAAAAGAAAAAAAAAAAAUAAUAAUUGAGAAAUGGCUUUUUUUUUGAGGCGGACAGCAGGACCAGUACCAUCAGUGGAUUGCUAAUGAUUAUUUUAAAUGCUAGAAUCUAUCAGAGUGCAACUUUUGUAUAUAAAGUACUCAAAACUCAAAGAGAAAUAAUACUAAGUUGCUACGUCAGGGGCAUAUUUCAUAUGUUACUCAUAGAGGGUGUAGCUAGAGGAGGAAGUUAGGGAUUUAGUGGAAAGCAAAUAGUGCUAAAAAAGGCACUGACAACUGUAAAAGUUUCUGGGUUUAGGAAGAGCAGAAAGCUUAUGAUAUAUAAAAUGUUUAUCUCCCCAGGCUCCAAAGACUGAUAUUCUUGCGGAAUUACCUACUUUCACUGAAUCUAAAGAGAACAUGGUGGAUCUUGCACCUCAACUGAAGGGAACCAAGGAUGAAGACUUUAUACAGCCGCCACCAGUUACAUCAUCACCCAUAACACCAUCAACACCUAUUUCAUUACCUAAGGGACCCAUCACUUCUUCUAAAGAACCUACACUCCAGGCCAAAUCACAAAUGACGGCCCAGAACAGCAAGGCUAGUUCAAAAGGAGCAUAAGGACUACUUGAGGAUGGAGCUCACUCUCUUCAGCUUCCGGCCCUCAACAGUGGCAUCUGUAAAGGACCCAGAUAAGACUGUCUGGCUUCAGAGAGCGGAUCAGCCGUUUAGCCCGUGGGGCAGUCCUUUGAGGCCUGGUAACCAUUCCAGGUAAUGUGGGUAGUGAGACCAAGUUCAGACCACUGAGAAAAAUAUAAUUGCAAAGUCCCAUUUCCUCUGUACCAUUGUCACCCCACUCAACUUUGUAUAAAGCCCACCCCCCAUC
rnacentral:sRNA from 1 species